GAGAAAAGCCCUAAAUUUCCAAUUCCUCAAAUAUCUCCCCUUCUUCCCAAAGCAUCGCCGGCGACUUCUCCGGUGAGUUCCAACUUCCGAUAAUUCUCUCUCUCUGACUUCUUCGCUUUCUAGGCUUCAAUUUCCUUUCACAAGAUUUUGGUUAGUCGGAACUUGGAAGCGUUUUGAAAUCCUAGUGGGCAAACCAAGAGUGGAAGCUUAAAACAAGAGUGAAAGUGUUACAGGUUCGUUUAAUAGAAGGAACUGUCGGAACUUGGAGUCUUAAUACAAAUAUGCUGCAUUUGAAGGAAGCCAACUUUCAAUAGAUUCACAGAACACCUACCAAGAGUAUUUGAAGCUUAAAACAAGAGUGGAAGUGUUACAACAAUCUCAAAGAGAUAUCGAUGGAAGGUAUUGCUGAUUCUUGUGUACAGAGCUCUUCAACUACGAUAAAACGAUAAAAAAGACAAUUUUCCACUGUUUGGGAUUCUUCUGUUAAGGUAACAGAGCCUAGUAUUUCUAGUGAUGGAAAGUUUAAAGUCCAAUGUACUCUUUGUAAAAAAGACUUCAUAUACGAUCCUAAAUUUAGAACAUCAAAUUUGAAGCGCCAUUUGUUGAUAAAACAUCCGUUGAAUAAUGCUAAAGAGGGUCAA